GAUGAACGCUGGCGGCGUGCUUAACACAUGCAAGUCGAACGAUGAAGCCCAGCUUGCUGGGUGGAUUAGUGGCGAACGGGUGAGUAACACGUGAGUAACCUGCCCUUAACUCUGGGAUAAGCCUGGGAAACUGGGUCUAAUACCGGAUAGGAGCGCCUACCGCAUGGUUGGUGUUGGAAAGAUUUAUCUGUUUUGGAUGGACUCGCGGCCUAUCAGCAUGUUGGUUAGGUAAUGGCUCAACAAGGCGACGCCGGGUAACCUGCCUGAGAGGGUGACCGGCCACACUGGGACUGAGACACGGCCCAGACUCCUACGGGAAGCAGCAGUGGGGAAUAUUGCACAAUGGGCGAAAGCCUGAUGCAGCGACGCCGCGUGAGGGAUGACGGCCUUCGGGUUGUAAACCUCUUUCAGUAGGGAAGAAGCGAAAGUGACGGUACCUGCAGAAGAAGCACCGGCUAACUACGUG
rnacentral:rRNA from 1 species